rnacentral:rRNA from 1 species
AGCGACGCCGCGUGAAGGAUGAAGGUUUUCGGAUCGUAAACUUCUAUCMGCAGGGAAGAAACCAAUGACGGUACCUGACUAAGAAGCCCCSGCUAACUACGUGCCAGCAGCCGCGGUAAUACGUAGGGGGCAAGCGUUAUCCGGAUUCACUGGGUGUAAAGGGUGCGUAGGUGGCCUGUUAGGUGGGGUGUGAAAUCCCUCGGCUCAACCGAGGAAUGGCGCUCCAAACCGGCAGGCUUGAGAGAGUCAGAGGUGAGCGGAACUCACGGUGGAGCGGUGAAAUGCGUUGAUAUCGUGAGGAACACCGGUGGCGAAGGCGGCUCACUGGGGCUCUUCUGACGCUGAGGGACGAAAGCUAGGGGAGCGGACGGGAUUAGAUACCCCGGUAGUCCUAGCCCUAAACSAUGAGCACUAGGCCGAGGAGGCCUCCACACCUUCCCGGCCGUAGCGAAAGCGUUAAGUGCUCCGCCUGGGGAGUAUGGUCGCAAGGCUGAAACUCAAAGGAAUUGAUGGGGGCCCGCACAAGCGGUGGAGCAUGUGGUUUAAUUCGACGCAACGCGAAGAACCUUACCGGGGUUUGAACUGCAGUGGACAGCGGCAGAGAUGUCGUGUUCUCUUCGGAGACUGCUGCAGAGGUGCUGCAUGGCUGUCGUCAGCUCGUGUCRUGAGAUGUURGGUUAAGWCCCGCAACGAAGCGCAWCCCUUGUCUGUAGUUGCCAU